UAUGCUUAGCCUUAAACCUAAAUAAUUUUAUAACAAAAUUAUUCGCCAGAGAACUACAAGCCAGAGCUUAAAACUCAAAGGACUUGGCGGUGCUUUAUACCCGCCUAGAGGAGCCUGUUCUAUAAUCGAUAAACCCCGAUAAACCUUACCACUCUUUGCCAACUCAGCCUAUAUACCGCCAUCUUCAGCAAACCCUAAAAAGGGACAAAAGUAAGCUCAAUCAUCACCAUAAAAACGUUAGGUCAAGGUGUAGCCUAUAGAGUGGAAAGCAAUGGGCUACAUUUUCUACUUUAGAACACACGAAAGCCCCUAUGAAACUCUAGAGACCAAAGGAGGAUUUAGCAGUAAAUUAAGAAUAGAGUGCUUAAUUGAACAAGGCCAUGAAGNACGC
rnacentral:rRNA from 1 species